UGGAGUUUCCGGGUGCGCAGACCCUUGCCAUCAGCAGAGGCUGCCGCUGCGCGUCCCCUAGGCGCGGAAGAGGCGGCUGGUGGUCCCUGACGGCAAGGUUUUAUACAUUACGAAUAAAGCUGGCACGUUUCCAUUUCUCCUGGGCAAAUAUUUAGAAGAAAAGUUGCUGGGUAAUUGAAGCACUGAGACCACAGAGGCAAGAGCUGGGGAAGGAAAACUGCCCAUGAGAUGAGAUGUGCCUCUCAGCUUCCAAAAUCGGGGAGGUAAGAGGGAUUCUGGACAAAAUGAAACCCUGCACCCACAAGGAGUCCAGCAGACAGAUGUAGACACCAAGCAGACAUCCUCAUAAUCUAAAAGUAGGGUCCAGACAGCAAGUUUCUGGCCCAUCCCACACUCUGCUAAUGCUGACCUGGACCUAAAAUUAAGCCACUCAACCCUAUCUUGAGAUAACAGAGGGAGAAAAUGCUCCCUCCAUUUUACUUUCUAGGGUUGCAAAGGGAUGACACCAUCCACACCAGAACUGCAUGAAUGGCAUCAGGAAUGAUCAGAGACCAUAAAUUCCAGUGAGACCAAUAACACCAUUUCUGGUCCUGCAUGCUCUUCCAAACUUUGCCACUAACCCCUUCAAGAGGUACAGUCUAUUUCCCUUUCUCUUGAAAUUGGGUAGGCCUUUGGGACUCCCUUGAUAAACAGAAUACAACAGAAAUGACACUGUGUAUCUAACAAGGCUAGGUUAGAAAAGGCAACAGAACUUCAUCCUAAUCUCUCUCAAGAUGCCCCCCAUGGAAUCCAGCCAUCAUGCUGUGAGGAAUCCAAGCAGCUACAUAGAAAGGCCACAACUAGAUAUUCCAGCUGUAGUCAGCUGAAGCUCCAGCCAACAGCCAACAUCAACCACCACACGUGAAAACGAGCAAGCCUUCAGAUGAUUCCGACUCCCAACCUCCAAGCCACCUCAGCUGAAGCCAAGUAGAGCAGAGACUAGCUGUCCCCCAA
rnacentral:lncRNA from 1 species